CCCUUAGAUGUUCUGGGCCGCACGCGCGCUACACUGUUCGACGCAGCGAGUCUUAACCUUGACCGAAAGGUUUGAGUAAUCUUCAGCAAAGUCGAACGUGAUGGGGAUCGAUCAUUGCAAUUAUUGAUCGUGAACGAGGAAUUCCUAGUAAGUGCAAGUCAUCAGCUUGCGCUGAUUACGUCCCUGCCCUUUGUACACACCGCCCGUCGCUACUACCGAUUGAAUGGUUUAGUGAGAUCUCUGGAUUGACGCUGGCUAGGGGGCGACCCUUGGCCAGACUGUUGAGAAACUGCUCAAACUUGAUCAUUUAGAGGAAGUAAAAGUCGUAACA
rnacentral:rRNA from 1 species